CGAGAUUACAAGGUGACUGGAGUUCAGACGUGUGCUCUUCCGAUCUGGACGGUAGCGCAGGAAUAAGUGUCGGCUAACUACGUGCCAGCAGCCGCGGUAAAACGUAGGACGCAAGCGUUAUCCGGAAUUACUGGGCGUAAAGCGCGUGUAGGUGGUUAUGCAAGUCAUUUGUGAAAGCUCCCGGCUAAACUGGGAGAGGUCAGGUGAGACUGCACAGCUAGAGGGCAAUAGAGGGGUGCGGAAUUCCGGGUGUAGUGGUGAAAUGCGUAGAUAUCCGGAGGAACACCAGAGGCGAAGGCGGCACCCUGGGUUGUACCUGACACUGAGACGCGAAAGCAUGGGUAGCGAACGGGAUUAGAGACCCCGGUAGUCCAUGCCGUAAACGAUGCAUACUAGAUGUUCGCUGUGCACGCACAGUGAGCGUCGAAGCAAACGCGAUAAGUAUGCCGCCUGGGGAGUACGGUCGCAAGGCUAAAACUCAAAGGAAUUGACGGGGACCCGCACAAGCAGCGGAGCGUGUGGUUUAAUUCGAGGCUACACGAAGAACCUUACCUGGGUUUGACAUGCAAGUGGUAGUGAACCGAAAGGGGAACGACCUUCGGGAGCUUGCACAGGUGCUGCAUGGCUGUCGUCAGCUCGUGCCGUGAGGUGUUCGGUUAAGUCCGCAAACGAGCGCAACCCUCGGCGUUAGUUACAAGUGUCUAACGCAACUGCCCGUGAGAAACGGGAGGAAGGUGGGGAUGACGUCAAGUCAGCAUGGCCUUUAUAUCCAGGGCUACACACACGCUACAAUGGGCGGUACAAUGGGUCGCGAAGCCGCGAGGUGAAGCCAAUCCAGAAAGCCGUUCGUAGUUCAGAUUGCAGGCUGCAACUCGCCUGCAUGAAGUUGGAGUUGCUAGUAACCGCGCGUCAGCUAUAGUGCGGUGAAUACGUUCCCGGGCCUUGUACACACCGCCCGUCACGUCAUGGGAGCUGGUCACGCCUGAAGUCGGGAAGGUAACCGCAAGGAGCCUACUGCCGAAGGCAGGGCCGGUGACUGGGACGAAGUCGUAACAAGGUAGCUGUACCGGAAGGUGCGGCUG
rnacentral:rRNA from 1 species